CCUACGGGUGGCAGCAGUGGGGAAUAUUGGACAAUGGGGGGAACCCUGAUCCAGCCAUGCCGCGUGUGUGAAGAAGGCCCUCGGGUUGUAAAGCACUUUCAGUGAGGAAGAACGCCUGGUGGUUAAUACCCAUCAGGAAAGACAUCACUCACAGAAGAAGCACCGGCUAACUCCGUGCCAGCAGCCGCGGUAAUACGGAGGGUGCGAGCGUUAAUCGGAAUUACUGGGCGUAAAGCGCGCGUAGGUGGCUUGAUAAGCCGGUUGUGAAAGCCCCGGGCUCAACCUGGGAACGGCAUCCGGAACUGUCAAGCUAGAGUGCAGGAGAGGAAGGUAGAAUUCCCGAUGUAGCGGUGAAAUGCGUAGAGAUCGGGAGGAAUACCAGUGGCGAAGGCGGCCUUCUGGACUGACACUGACACUGAGGUGCGAAAGCGUGGGUAGCAAACAGGAUUAGAUACCCCUGUAGUC
rnacentral:rRNA from 1 species